rnacentral:rRNA from 1 species
CCCUUAGAUGUUCUGGGCCGCACGCGCGCUACACUGAUGCAUUCAACGAGUCUAAAACCUGCUCUGAUAGGGGUGGGCAAUCUUUUGAAUGUGCAUCGUGAUUGGGAUAGAUGAUUGCAAUUUUUCAUCUUCAACGAGGAAUGCCUAGUAAACGCAAGUCAUCAGCUUGCAUUGAUUACGUCCCUGCCCUUUGUACACACCGCCCGUCGCUCCUACCGAUUGAAUGAUCCGAUGAAUAUCAUGGAUUGAGGAUGCAAGCAGGUUCGCCUGUCUUCAUCUUCGAGAAGUGAAGUAAAUCUUAUCAUUUAGAGGAAGGAGAAGUCGUAACA